UAGGAAAUCUUCGGCAAUGGGGGGAACCCUGACCGAGCAACGCCGCGUGAGUGAAGAAGGUUUUCGGAUCGUAAAGCUCUGUUGUUAAGGAAGAACGAGUGUGAGAAUGGAAAGUUCAUACUGUGACGGUACUUAACCAGAAAGGGACGGCUAACUACGUGCCAGCAGCCGCGGUAAUACGUAGGUCCCGAGCGUUGUCCGGAUUUAUUGGGCGUAAAGCGAGCGCAGGCGGUUAGAUAAGUCUGAAGUUAAAGGCAGUGGCUCAACCAUUGUAGGCUUUGGAAACUGUUUAACUUGAGUGCAGAAGGGGAGAGUGGAAUUCCAUGUGUAGCGGUGAAAUGCGUCGAUAUAUGGAGGAACACCGGUGGCGAAAGCGGCUCUCUGGUCUGUAACUGACGCUGAGGCUCGAAAGCGUGGGGAGCGAACAGG
rnacentral:rRNA from 1 species